GUCACCGUGGUGUAGUGGUUAUCACGUGAGUCUCACACACUCAAGGUCCCCAGUUCGAUCCUGGGCGGUGACA
rfam:Allomyces macrogynus ATCC 38327 genomic scaffold supercont3.42, whole genome shotgun sequence.